rnacentral:rRNA from 1 species
GACAGAGGUGCCGAGCGUUAGGCGGAAUCACUGGGCUUAAAGCGUGUGUAGGCGGGUCGUUAAGUGUCUUGUGAAAUCCCACCGCUCAACGGUGGAACUGCUGGGCAUACUGGCGAUCUUGAGCCACCUAGGGGCAGACGGAACAAGCGGUGGAGCGGUGAAAUGCGUAGAUAUCUGGAGGAACACCGGUGGCGAAGGCGACGUCCUGGACCGGCAUUGACGCUGAGGCGCGAAAGCCAGGGGAGCAAACGGG